AUGUGUGCGUUAGCGUGUCUAUAAUUUUUUUUUAUACAUUAUAUAUGUAGACACAUACACACAUAUAUACACACACGUGCGCACACGCGCACA
rnacentral:miRNA from 12 species